rnacentral:rRNA from 1 species
UGAGUGGCGGACGGGUGAGUAACGCGUGGGCAACCUGGCCUGUACAGGGGGAUAACACUUAGAAAUAGGUGCUAAUACCGCAUAACGGGGGAAGCCGCAUGGCUUUUCCCUGAAAACUCCGGUAGUACAGGAUGGGCCCGCGUCUGAUUAGCCAGUUGGCAGGGUAACGGCCUACCAAAGCGACGAUCAGUAGCCGGCCUGAGAGGGCGGACGGCCACACUGGGACUGAGACACGGCCCAGACUCCUACGGAAGGCAGCAG